UGCAUGCAACCCUAAUUUUUUCAUUUUUCCAGUUCCAUGAGCUUCUGAUCUCUUCUUGGGAGGUUUUUAACCUCUAAGGCCUUCUGCCUUGAGUAUUUGAAGAAGGAUAAAGGGUUUAGGGGGAUUCGAUCCUAAGACCAAGUAAGAUCUCAGAUUUGAGUGGUUAGUAGGGUUUGAGGGCUGUGGAUGGUAUGGCUGGGCAGAGGGACACAAGGAGAUCACCUGAGGCCAAUUUGGCCGGAUUUCAGUGAAUUUUAAGACCUAAGGUAAGUUUAGAUUUGAUAUCUAAGACGGUCUGUUGAGAUUUGAGGGAUAAGGCUUGGAUGGUUGGGAAUGAGAAGGUGAGUUGGUUCAGGGGUGUAUUUGUGAGUUGGUUUGGUGUUGGGUCGCCGGAGACGGUGGUUCCAGCGAUCCUUCUUCUGAAUAUUCGAAGAGACGGGGACUUCUUCGAAAGAAGCUGAUCAUAGGACGGGGAAGAGGGGCUCUUGGUGGUCCUAUGGUGUAAAUUUGGGGCGGUUUGGUGACGGCCACUGGCGUGAGGUGAUUUCCGGCGGCGGUGUUAGGGUGGUUGCUGGGUGGUCAAGGGUGGUCAUAGGGCAGAGACGGGGAGGUGUUACAGUCGGUGUGUUUGUACG
rnacentral:lncRNA from 1 species